UACGUAGGGUGCAAGCGUUAAUCGGAAUUACUGGGCGUAAAGCGUGCGCAGGCGGUGAUGUAAGACAGUUGUGAAAUCCCCGGGCUCAACCUGGGAACUGCAUCUGUGACUGCAUCGCUGGAGUGCGGCAGAGGGGGAUGGAAUUCCGCGUGUAGCAGUGAAAUGCGUAGAUAUGCGGAGGAACACCGAUGGCGAAGGCAGCCUCCUGGGCCAGCACUGACGCUCAUGCACGAAAGCGUGGGGAGCAAACAGG
rnacentral:rRNA from 1 species